rnacentral:tRNA from 1 species
AAAAUUUUAAGUUAAAAAAACUAAUUACCUUCAAAGUAAUAAAUACCUCUAGACAGUAAGUUUUA